rnacentral:misc_RNA from 1 species
AACGUAGGGGGCGAGCGUUAUCCGGAUUUACUGGGCGUAAAGAGCACGUAGGUGGUCAGCCAAGUUGGCCGUGAAAGCGCCUGGCUUAACUAGGCGAGGUCGGUCAAAACUGGCUGGCUGGAGGUUGACAGAGGCGCGUGGAAUUCCCGGUGUAGUGGUGGAAUGCGUAGAUAUCGGGAGGAACACCAGUGGCGAAAGCGACGCGCUGGGUCAGACCUGACACUGAGGUGCGAAAGCGUGGGGAGCGAACGGG